UACACAGCGGGGAGCGUGUUCUUCCAAAUCCAAAUCUACCACAUUACGCAGAAAAACCGAAUUCUUGUUCUUAGGUGAGAUCCUUCCACGUUACACCAGUGUGAGAUUUCUCAAAGGUCGCGGAUACAGGAGCACUCCCCCCCUCCGGACCGUCUCACUGCCGUCCUUCCUCUCGUCUAUCAAUCACCUGCACGGUGGCAGGAGUCACAGCUUAUUACCGGCAUCCGUCUGAUCAUAAAUUCUCCACACCAGGAACAACACAAACCACAUGACAGGCGGGUGAUGGGUCCCAUGAGAGAACAGACAGACCGUACCGCAGAUACGCUGGGAUGUUACCGAGCAGCCAGGGAGCUGAGCGGGUUCAUCAUCGGCGUCGCCACCUUACUAUUACAUCCUUGAUGAGCUGUGCUCUCACCUUCCUCCUCCCCGUCCACACCUCCACUUCACGGGGAACGCCUCGGUCCUCGG
ensembl:lncRNA